rnacentral:tRNA from 1 species
GGGAAUGUAGUUCAGUGGUAGAACGCUACGUUGACAUCGUAGAGGUCGCAAGUUCAAUUCUUGCCAUUCCCACCA